rnacentral:rRNA from 1 species
CCUACGGGUGGCAGCAGUGAGGAAUAUUGGUCAAUGGACGAGAGUCUGAACCAGCCAAGUAGCGUGAAGGAUGACUGCCCUAUGGGUUGUAAACUUCUUUUAUAUGGGAAUAAAAUGUUCCACGUGUGGGAUUUUGUAUGUACCAUAUGAAUAAGGAUCGGCUAACUCCGUGCCAGCAGCCGCGGUAAUACGGAGGAUCCGAGCGUUGUCCGGAUUUAUUGGGUUUAAAGGGAGCGUAGGUGGAUUGUUAAGUCAGUUGUGAAAGUUUGCGGCUCAACCGUAAAAUUGCAGUUGAAACUGGGAGUCUUGAGUACAGUAGAGGUGAGCGGAAUUCGUGGUGUAGCAGUGAAAUGCUUAGAUAUCGCGAAGAACUCCGAUUGCGAAGGCAGCUCACUGGACUGCAACUGACACUGAGGCUCGAAGGUGUGGGUAUCAAACAGGAUUAGAUACCCCUGUAGUC